rnacentral:rRNA from 1 species
GUCGAGCGGACAGAAGGGAGCUUGCUCCCGGAUGUUAGCGGCGGACGGGUGAGUAACACGUGGGUAACCUGCCUGUAAGACUGGGAUAACUCCGGGAAACCGGAGCUAAUACCGGAUAGUUCCUUGAACCGCAUGGUUCAAGGAUGAAAGACGGUUUCGGCUGUCACUUACAGAUGGACCCGCGGCGCAUUAGCUAGUUGGUGGGGUAAUGGCUCACCAAGGCGACGAUGCGUAGCCGACCUGAGAGGGUGAUCGGCCACACUGGGACUGAGACACGGCCCAGACUCCUACGGGAGGCAGCAGUAGGGAAUCUUCCGCAAUGGACGAAAGUCUGACGGAGCAACGCCGCGUGAGUGAUGAAGGUUUUCGGAUCGUAAAGCUCUGUUGUUAGGGAAGAACAAGUGCGAGAGUAACUGCUCGCACCUUGACGGUACCUAACCAGAAAGCCACGGCUAACUACGUGCCAGCAGCCGCGGUAAUACGUAGGUGGCAAGCGUUGUCCGGAAUUAUUGGGCGUAAAGGGCUCGCAGGCGGUUUCUUAAGUCUGAUGUGAAAGCCCCCGGCUCAACCGGGGAGGGUCAUUGGAAACUGGGAAACUUGAGUGCAGAAGAGGAGAGUGGAAUUCCACGUGUAGCG